ACGCACGCUGGCGGCGUGCCUAAUCCCUGCCAGUCGAGCGAAGUUUUUCUGGUGCUUGCACUAGAAAAACUUAGCGGCGAACGGGUGAGUAACACGUAAAGAACCUGCCUCAUAGACUGGGACAACUAUUGGAAACGAUAGCUAAUACCGGAUAACAGCAUUAACUGCAUGGUUGAUGUUUAAAAGUUGGUUUUGCUAACACUAUGAGAUGGCUUUGCGGUGCAUUAGCUAGUUGGUGGGGUAAAGGCCUACCAAGGCGACGAUGCAUAGCCGACCUGAGAGGGUGAUCGGCCACACUGGGACUGAGACACGGCCCAGACUCCUACGGGAGGCAGCAGUAGGGAAUCUUCCGCAAUGGGCGAAAGCCUGACGGAGCAACGCCGCGUGAGUGAAGAAGGAUUUCGGUUCGUAAAGCUCUGUUGUUAGGGAAGAAUGAUUGUGUAGUAACUAUACACAGUAGAGACGGUACCUAACCAGAAAGCCACGGCUAACUACGUG
rnacentral:rRNA from 1 species